CGUGCAUAACACAUUCAAGUCGAACGGAGUUGUUGGAAUUAAUCCUUCGGGAAGCGUGAAGACAACUUAGUGGCGGACGGGUGAGUAACGCGUGAGCAAACUGCCUCUGUAUAUGGGAUAACGUUUGGAAACGGACGCUAAUACCGUAUGAAGCAUACACAAAGCAUGAUGACUAUGCCAAAAAUUUUAUUGUACAGAGAUGGAGUCGCGUCUGAUUAGGUAGUUGGUGGGGUAACGGCCGACCAAGCCGACGAUCAGUAGCCGGACUGAGAGGUUGAACGGCCACAUUGGAACUGAGAUACGGUCCAGACUCCUACGGGAGGCAGCAGUGGGGAAUUUUGGGCAAUGGGCGUAGGCCUGACCCAGCGACGCCGCGUGAGGGAAGAAGGUCUUCGGAUUGUAAACCUUUGUUGACAGGGACGAAAAAAAUGACGGUACCUGUCGAGGAAGCCACGGCUAACUACGUGCCAGCAGCCGCCGUAAAAC
rnacentral:rRNA from 1 species